GUCCUUGGUUACUCCUGUAAUAUCCGUUGCAGAACAUAUUGACUAUAUACCUUUUGUUCCUCUUUUAAUAAGCUUUCGAUUGAGGUAUAAUAUAUAUCUGUAAUUAGGGGCUGAAGGGUCAUAGCAGUCCAUUCCAUUAUUCAAAAUAUCCAUUUCAUUAUUCAAAAUGGGCUAACAUGUUUAACCCCGUCACAUUAUUUAUGUACUUGUAUGUGUCUGUCCCAAGUCAGGAGCCUGUAAUUUAGUGGUUGUCGUUUGUUUAUGUGUUACAUAUUUGUUUUUCGUUCAUUAUUUUACAUAAAUAAGGCCGUUAGUUUUCUCGUUUGAAUUGUUUUACAAUGUCUUAUCGGGGCCUUAAAUAGCUGACUAUGCGGUAUGGGCUUUGCUCAUUGUUGAAGGCCGUACGGUGACCUAUAGUUGUUAAUGUCUGUGUCAUUUUGGUCUUUUGUGGAUAUUUUUCUCAUUGGCAAUCAUACCACAUCUUCUUUUUUAUAUUUCCUCAUUUUUACGCAUGUUGUUGCAUUUAGGUCCUCCGUAGAACCUCUUAUGGUCAUUGUAAAUCAAAAUAUAGCUAUAGUGUCACAGUCAAAUUUUUUUAUAUUUAUUUCACUAUUCACC
rnacentral:lncRNA from 1 species